rnacentral:rRNA from 1 species
GAGGUUCGAAGGCGAUCAGAUACCGCCCUAGUUCUAACCAUAAACGAUGCCAGCCAGCGAUCCGGCUGCGUUCCUCAAAUGACGCGCCGGGCAGCUUCCGGGAAACCAAAGCUUUUGGGUUCCGGGGGAAGUAUGGUUGCAAAGCUGAAACUUAAAGGAAUUGACGGAGGGCUACCACCAGAGGUGGAACUUGCGGUUCAAUUUGACUCAACACAGCGAACCCUACCAGGUCAGGACACAGGAAGGAUUGACAGAUUAAGAGCUCUUUCUUGAUUUUGUGGGUAGUGGUGCAUGGCCGCUCUUGGUUCGUGAAGUGAUUUGUCUGGUUAAUUCCGUUAACGGACGAGGCUCUAGCCUGCUAAAUAGGCGCUCGGAUCAAUUAGUCCGGCGACUCUUCUUAGAGGGACUGGCGGCGUUCAGCCGCAGGAGGUUGAGCAAUAGCAGGUCUGUAAUGCCCUUAGAUGUCCUGGGCCACACGCGUGUUACAUUGAAGGAAUCAGCGUGUGCUCUCCCUGUCCGACAGGACCGGGGAACCCGUUGAACCUCCUUCGUGCUAGGGAUUGGGAUUUUCAACUGUCUCCCAUGAACGAGGAACCUCUAGUAAGUGCGAGUCAUCAUCUCGCGUUGAUUAGGUCCCUGGCCCUUGUCCACACCGCCCGUCGCUAUUACCGAUUGAAUGUCUUAGUGAGGACUUCGGAUUGGCUGUCGAUUUGGCUUUAGGGUCGAGGCGGCGUGCCGAAAAGAUGUCCGAACUUGGUCAUUUAGAGGAAAUA